rnacentral:sRNA from 16 species
GCAGGGGCUGUGUCAACCGGACGUGAUAGGGAUGGUAGACGCAGCGGUUUUUCCGGUUUCACGCUGCGGCCUAAAACGCCUAGGUUAGAAAGCAUUACCUAUCCGGCCC